rnacentral:rRNA from 1 species
UGGGGAAUAUUGGACAGUGGGGGCAACCCUGAUCCAGCCAUGCCGCGUGAGUGAUGAAGGCCUUAGGGUUGUAAAACUCUUUCAGGGGUGACGAUAAUGACGGUAACCCCAGAAGAAGCCCCGGCUAACUCCGUGCCAGCAGCCGCGGUAAUACGGAGGGGGCAAGCGUUGUCCGGACUUACUGGGCGUAAAGCGCACGCAGGUGGUAACGCAAGUGGGGUGUGAAAGCCGCCAGCUUAACUGGCGGAGGCCAUCCCAAACUGCGUCACUUGAGGCCUGUAGAGGUAUGUGGAAUUGCCGGUGUAGUGGUGAAAUGCGUAGAGAUCGGCAGGAACACCCAGGGGGAAACCAGCAUACUGGACAGGUCCUGACACUCAGGUGCGACAGCGUGGGGAGCGAACCGGAUUAGAUACCCGCGUAGUCC